AUCUAGGGCUCAGUGGUAGAGCACUUGCCUGGCAUGUGUGAGGCCCUGGGUUCGAUCCUCAGCACCACAUA
rnacentral:tRNA from 1 species